rnacentral:rRNA from 1 species
CCCCGACUGUUUGGAAGGGGAGUAUUUAUUAGAUUCAAAAAUCAAGGCAGGGGGCAACUCCUGGAAAAUUGGUGAUUCAUGAUAACUUUUCGGACCACAUGGCCUAGUGCUGGUGGCGCAUCAUUCGGAUUUCUGCCCUAUCAACUUUCGAAGGUAGUAUAGAGGACUACCUUGGUAAUAACGGGUAACGGGGUUUUAGGGAACGACUCCGGAGAGUUUGCCUUAAAAAUGGCAAACACUUCCAAAGGAAGGCAGCAGGCGCGCAAAUUACCCAAUCCGGAAUCCGGGAGGUAGUGACAAAAAAUAUCGACACAGGGUCCAAUAGGGCUUUGUGAUUGGAAUGAGCAAAAGUUAAAAUGCAUAGCGAAAGCCAUUGGAGGGCAAGUCUGGUGCCAGCAGCCGCGGUAAUUCCAGCUCCAAUAGCGUAUGUUAUAGUUGCUGUAGUUGAAAAGCUCGUAGUUGGAUUUCGUUUGCAGACAAGAACUUUUUUUACAAAAAGGACUUUUUCUUGUGAUUUCUCUAUACGUGUAAACGUGGGAUGGAUUACAAGACUGCAAAAUACUAAGCUAGAAGUUGGACAAAAAGGAUGGUUAAUUCGAUUCUUUUUCAUUUGUGUAAAAAGCAAAUGGAUUAUUCCGAGUCAAAUUGGAAGAAUGGUCUACUUCUUUGUUUACUGUGAGUAAAUUAGAGUGUUUCAAGCAGUCCAAAUAGGACAUUGCAUACAAUUAGCAUGGGAUAAUGGAAUAGGACUUGGGUUCUUUUUUCAUUGGUUUUAAAAAUAUACAAGGGCCAGAGUAAUGAUUAAAAGGGACAGUCGGGGGUAUUGGUAUUUUGAUGUCAGAGGUGAAAUUCUAAGAUUUUCAAAAGACUAACAGGUGCGAAAGCAUUUGCCAAGGAUGUUUUCAUUAAUCAAGAACGAAAGUUGGGGGAUCGAAGACGAUUAGAUACCGUCGUAGUCUUAACUAUAAACGAUGCCGACCAGAGAUCAGAGGAUGUUGAAUGGAAGACACUUUUGGAAUCUUGAGCGAAAGCACAAGUUUUUGGGUUCUGGGGGGAGUAUGGUCGCAAGACUGAAACUUAAAGGAAUUGACGGGAGGGUACACCAGGUGUGAAGUUUGCGGCUCAAUUUAACUCAACACAGGAAAACUCACCAGGGCAAGACAUUGUAAGGAUUGACAGAUUGAUAGCUCUUUCUUGAUUCGAUGGGUGGUGGUGCAUGGCCGUUCUUAGUUGGUGGAGUGAUUUGUCUGGUUUAUUCCGAUAACGAACGAGAUCUCAUCUUAUUAAAUAGAGGUAUACAAAUGGGUAUUUAAAGAUGUAUGGCAUAUGAGUUUUAGCAGUAGCAAUAUUGCUGAGGCCAUAGAGUUGUACCUUGC